GAAUGUCGCGGUGAAUACGUUCCCGGGCCUUGUACACACCGCCCGUCACACCAUGAGAGCCGAUAACACCCGAAGCCUGUGAGCUAACCGUAAGGGGGCAGCAGUCGAAGGUGGGGUUGGUGAUUGGGGUGAAGUCGUAACAAGGUACC
rnacentral:rRNA from 1 species